GUGCCCUUCGGGUUCGGAAUAACUCAGGGAAACUUGAGCUAUUACCGGAUACGCCCUUAUGGGGAAAGGUUUACUGCCGAAGGAUCGGCCCGCGUCUGAUUAGCUUGUUGGUGGGGUAACGGCCUACCAAGGCGACGAUCAGUAGCUGGUCUGAGAGGAUGAUCAGCCACACUGGGACUGAGACACGGUCCAAAUUCAUACGGGAGGCAGCAGUGGGGAAUAUUGGACAAUGGGCGCAAGCCUGAUCCAGCCAUGCCGCGUGAGUGAUGAAGGCCUUAGGGUUGUAAAGCUCUUUUGUCCGGGACGAUAAUGACGGUACCGGAAGAAUAAGCCCCGGCUAACUUCGUGCCAGCAGCCGCGGUAAUACGAAGGGGGCUAGCGUUGCUCGGAAUCACUGGGCGUAAAGGGCGCGUAGGCGGCCGAUUAAGUCGGGGGUGAAAGCCUGUGGCUCAACCACAGAAUUGCCUUCGAUACUGGUUGG
rnacentral:rRNA from 1 species